ensembl:snRNA U2 U2 spliceosomal RNA
AUUGCUUGUCAGCCUUUUGACUAAGAUCAAGUGUAGUAUCUGUUCUUAUUACAAUAGACUCCCUCGAAAAGGCAAUUAUAAUUAAUUAAAAUAUUAAACUCAUACAUGGCUGGCCUCCUACCCAGCCGCUACUGGAAAGCAGUCUGCACCCCUGUUUGUGAAGGGUCCUGUCCCUGGGGAGACCAAGCUGGCAGGUGCUUUUUUUCUUCC